CGACGUGGGUAACCUGCCUCACACAGGGGGAUAGCAGUUGGAAACGGCUGAUAAUACCGCAUAAGCGCACAGUACCGCAUGGUACAGUGUGAAAAACUCCGGUGGUGUGAGAUGGACCCGCGUCUGAUUAGCUUGUUGGCAGGGUAACGGCCUACCAAGGCAACGAUCAGUAGCUGACCUGAGAGGGUGACCGGCCACAUUGGGACUGAGACACGGCCCAG
rnacentral:rRNA from 1 species